CCCUGGGAUUCUCCAGGCAAGAACACUGGAAUGGGUUGCCAUUUCCUUCUCCAAUGCAGGAAAGUGAAAAGUGAAAGUGAAGUCGCUCAGUCGUGUCCGACUCUCAGCGACCCCAUGGACUGCAGCCCACCAGGCUCCUGCGUCCAUGGGAUUUUCCAGGCAAAAGUACUGGAGUGGGGUGCCAUUGCCUUCUCCACUCAGGGGCUAGUUAUUGCAAAAAGAGCAAAUGUAAAUCACCUCAGACAGUGAAGAUUUAGUUGCAACAACUGAUCAUCCAUGUGGAGCCAGAGCGAGGACUCCAUGAGUUCAUGAGAAUUCAACCCCAUCCAGACUUCAGUUUCAGGAGCAGAGAAAGCCUUUUGUGUGAACCUGGAAGAGGCAGGGCAGAUGGAAGGGACUGGAUGUAAAAGGGCUUAGAACUGAAGAGGAAGAAGAGCUGGCACCUGGGAACUACCAGGCACUUAGAGAAGGUAGAGACAGUAUUUAAAGUUCCAAAGGGGAAAGCCUCCACCUUCACCUGCCAGGAUACGGGUGCCAGAACCACCGGUGGGUGGCCUGUCA
ensembl:lncRNA